rnacentral:lncRNA from 1 species
GCACGUGUCAUCUUUGGCGAAGGGAAACUGAAAACGCAUCUCCCGUGGGACCCCGGUGCCCAGUCGCCACCUCUCGGCCCUGCGGCUGACCCCGGGGGACACGGAGAGGGAAGUCGUGCCCGUGAGCCCGCCCGGUUCCAGGGUGCGCUGGCCUCCGCAAGCCAUGCCGUCGGGAGCUUCGGGAACAAUCCGGGGAAGGCCUCGGCUCCGUGUCUCGGCACACGGCCCCUGGGGAAGGAAAACUCCCUCUGGCAAACCCCACCUUCCUUCCCGUGUGUGGCGUGGCGGCAGCUGAGGGCCCCCAGGGUCAGGCCCAGAGUCUGCUUCGCGGGGACCUGCUGGCUGUCCUCCCGCUCCGCGUCUCCGAGCCCUAGGGGACAGGCCAUUGCUGGACUCCCUGGGCACCGUUGUCUCCCCUCCCCAAGGAUUUGCCAGGAGGCCACCCCCAGGAGGAUCUUAAAGCAGGAUUCCAGGGACACAUUUACGACCGUCAUAAUUCUCUCCGGUUCGGGGCCGUACCUGCGUCCGGGAGCCCUGGGCCGGCCAGACUCGGGCGGCCACAGAGCAGGGAGGAAGAGAGAGAGAGAAGAGAGAGAGAAUGAGGCAGAGACAGCCCUGCCCCUCCUCGGCCACCCUGCAGGCUGUGCCCAGCCGGCACUUCCUCCUCUUUCCCGGGAAACACUCCCGGCUUCCCGCUGCCGGGCGCCUCUCGGAGACGCUGUGGAGACGGCGAGCGGGACUCCUGCGCCCACGGGAUGCUCUCUGGAGUGCCGGGCAGGUGGUCCCUGGCGGGCGGGGGGCAUGGCCUGCCGGCCCACCCCGCUCCCCCUCCACACACACACCGUGCAGUGCCGGGGCUGGGGGAGUCCUUGCACACCUUCCAGCAUCAUGGCACAGAUGGAGAAACUGAGGCACAGAGAGGCUCCACGUUCCCAGGCCUCUUCUCUCCCUCCGCCCCCCACCACCCGGGCCAAACAUCCAGCCCCGUAAGUCCUCCAGGUGAAAACGGGCAUCCCGGCCACCGCCCUGCUGGGAAAUAAGCCUUCUGCGGAAGCACCCGCUGCACAUUUGCUAAAUUCAUGAAAAAGGAACUGCACGGGGUGAGUCGAUGCCCCGGCUCGGUGUGUCCGGAGUGGGGGCUCUCACAGCCGGCCUCCCCCUCUGUCAGACACCGGGGUGGCCGUGCCCUCCCCGGGGAGCAGGAUGCUCCUUUGUUCUGCGAGCUGGGUUUCCCAGGUGAGCGCCACCCCCUUCCCAGCAAAAGAGACAGGGGGUCUGCAUUGUCGCCCCGCACGGUGCCCGGCCCCCUGGAGGGGCUCGGCCGACCUGUGUUCAAUCCUCGGGACGUGACACAGGCUCGUUUUCCUCUUGGAAGAGCACGAAGGAGUUUCUAGAAACCACUGCGCUGGGGUGCCCUGGAGAGCCGCACGGGCGAGGCACCCAGGGGCCAGGGGUGGAGGUGCUGAGACUGAGCCCCGAGCUUUCUGUGCAGCCUCAGAUCCUGACGGAGACCCAACCCCGGAGGGGCAGGGGGCAGGGAGCAGCCGACGGCUGGACCUUUACUUGGUGUCGUCUGACCGCGGGGACUUGGCUGAUGUACGAGAAGCCCCUGCGAGAGAUGAGCCAGGCGUGGACGGGGUGGGUGAGGGUGACCGUGGCCGUGGCCCAGACAGGGGCGGAGCUGGGGGGGACACGGGGAGGAGCCCAGGCUGCAGCGGGGAGGGGAGGGCGGGGGUGAGCGUGAGUUGCUGGCCUGCCGGGUUUCAGAUUUGGGCCCAAGUGGGGGUGGGGGGGAGCAAAGAGAAGAGGACCCCGGAGGCCGGCGAGCCUGAGUCUGCGCAGGGCCAACGUCUGCGCUCUGGACCCUCGGCCUGGGAAGUGAGCGUCCGCCGUGGCAGGCGACAGGCCAAAAGCUCAUACCUGCCGUGCUGUUGUGAUUAUUAAAAAUCAGAUCCCGGGCAGCCCUGGUGGCCCAGCGGUUUAGCGCCGCCUUCAGCCCAGGGCGUGAUCCUGGAGUCCUGGGAUCGAGUCCCACAUCGGGCUCCCCGCAUGGAGCCUGCUUCUCCCUCUGCCUGUGUCUCUGCCUCUCUCUCUCUGUGUGUCUCUCACGAAUAAAAUAAAUAAAAUCUUUAAAUAAAAAGAAAAAUCAGAUCCCACCACCAGGCCCCGUCCGUCUGGCGGAGGCUGCUUCAGCACCCCCGACCCCUCACUCCCCCCCGACGCCUGAGUUCUGGGCUUGGCCCGAGGCCUGACCCGGCCACCUGAUGAUUUGAGGAGCCCACUGGGCUCGGGUGGGGGACACAUGAGGGAUCACGGAUGGGCCACCUUCCCUCCAUCUGCCCGCAUCCCAGCUUUCUGCGCCAACACCGACCCGUCCUGUCCCCGAAUGUCCACCCUGAGUUGCAAGAACAGGGGUUUCUGGGGAACACGCAGUCUCCUGCUUGUUUUCCUUAUUCUGAGCAAAAGCUGAGUGAGCUCAGAAGCGGGCGGGCCGGCUGCGGGCAGGGGGUAGGCACCUUGGGUGUCCACCCGGCCCUCCGACCUCCGCCAGGCUAUGCCUGGCCUGCCCCCGCCAGGCCCCUCUGGACCCUGCCGGACCCCGCUGGACCCCACUGGACCCCACUGGACCCCACUGGACACUGCUGGGCCCCGCAGGACCCUGCAGGACCUCGCUGGACCCCGCCGGACCCCAAUGAACCCCGCAGGACCCCACUGGACCCCGCUGGACCUCGCUGGAUCCCACUGGACCCCGCUGGGCCUGCGUGAGCCCGGGCGGCCAGACUGUUACGAGCUAACCCAAGUUGAGACUAACCUUUCAGCAGAACAGUUUGAGUUAAAAUAAAGGGAUUGAAAAAGAGUACAAUGACCAAAAAAAUCUAUAAAAAUGCAAUUGCGCUAAUAUAAUUUUAUCACUUAUUUAAAAAUUUAGUCGACCCAAAAGACUACCAAGUGUGAAAUUAAGGAACAGCUCCUCUACUUUUAUGGAAAUCACUCUUCCUCACUUGUCUAAUAGCCUGAUUUUGUCAGAUCAUUUAUUUCCAUGGUUUUAAAAUGAGCUUGACAGACAGAAUUUUAUAACACCACUUUACUGCAAAUAAGAACAUCAUUUUCGCUUAUUAAAACUGAAGCUUAGAGAAAGCAUUAAAAUUAACAGUUCACUCUGCUUUAACCUUUUGAAUCCUGCCGCGACGUUACGGGGAAGGCCGCGCGCGAGGGAGGCCG